UAGUACGGCGAGUGAAGCGGGAAGAGCUCAAAUUUGAAAUCUGGCACUUUCAGUGUCCGAGUUGUAAUCUCGAGAAGUGUUUUCCGCGCUGGACCGCAUAUAAGUCUGUUGGAAUACAGCGUCAUAGUGGUGAGAACCCCGUAAAUGAUGCGGACGCCCAGUGCUUUGUGAUACACUUUCGAAGAGUCGAGUUGUUUGGGAAUGCAGCUCAAAUUGGGUGGUAAAUUCCAUCUAAAGCUAAAUAUUGGCGAGAGACCGAUAGCGAACAAGUACCGUGAGGGAAAGAUGAAAAGCACUUUGGAAAGAGAGUUAACAGUACGUGAAAUUGUUGGAAGGGAAACGCUUGAAGUCAGACUUGCUGUUUGGAAUUCAGCCGCAAGGUGUACUUUUCAGAUAUGCAGGCCAGCAUCAGUUUUUGGGGGUGAAAAAGGGUAUUGAGAAGGUAGCAGUUUCGGCUGUGUUAUAGCUCUUUACUGGAUUCAUCCUUGGGGACUGAGGAACGCAGCUCACUUUUUGCACGACCCUCGGGUUGUUCUGAGCUUAGGAUGCUGGUGGAAUGGCUUUAAACGACCCGUCUUGA
rnacentral:rRNA from 1 species